rnacentral:rRNA from 1 species
GGGUCAGUAGGUUGGUCGUGCCACCGGUACGUACUGGUCUCACUGAUUCCUCCUUCCUGAAGAACCGUAAUGCCAUUAAUUUGGUGUUGCGGGGAAACAGGACUGUUACUUUGGAAAAAUUAGAGUGUUUAAAGCAAGCUAACGCUUGAAUACAUUAGCAUGGAAUAAUGAAAUAGGACGAUCGAUCCUAUUUUGUUAGUUUCUAGGAUUGACGUA